UACGUAGGGUGCGAGCGUUAAUCGGAAUUACUGGGCGUAAAGCGUGCGCAGGCGGUUUUGUAAGACAGAUGUGAAAUCCCCGGGCUUAACCUGGGAACUGCGUUUGUGACUGCAAGACUCGAGUGCGGCAGAGGGGGGUGGAAUUCCACGUGUAGCAGUGAAAUGCGUAGAGAUGUGGAGGGACACCGAUGGCGAAGGCAGCCCCCUGGGUCGACACUGACGCUCAUGCACGAAAGCGUGGGUAGCAAACAGG
rnacentral:rRNA from 1 species